rnacentral:rRNA from 1 species
CGACCUCAGUUCGGAUUGAAGGCUGAAAUUCGCCUUCAUGAAGUCGGAAUUGCUAGUAAUGGCAGGUCAGCAUACUGCCGUGAAUACGUUCCCGGGCCUUGUACACACCGCCCGUCACACCAUGAGAGUUGGAGAUACCCGAAGCCUAUGAGCUAACUUUUAGAGGCAGUAGUCGAAGGUAGAAUCAAUGAUUGGGGUGAAGUCGUAACAAGGUAAC